rnacentral:tRNA from 1 species
GGGCGGUUACCCAAGUGGCCAAAGGGGCCUGACUGUAAAUCAGCUGGCAUAAGCCUUCGUAGGUUCGAAUCCUGCACCGCCCA